rfam:Myotis davidii contig71038, whole genome shotgun sequence.
GGUGGUUCUCGGGUGACGCACCUGCAAUUGGGCUCCCUCCUCUCUGGUCCUGGGUGUGGCACCUGAGAACUGCA